AUAAUUCUCUUGUUGAUAUUUUGAGAACCUUGACAUCCAUAGAACUUUUCUUGCAUCCUUCUUUUUAUUCCAAGCAUCCUUGUUUUCAAUUGCUUUUAAAAACCAAAAGGCAAAUAUUUUUAUAUCUGAAAAAAGUUUAUUCAGAUUUUCCCUUUCCCAUAUUGUUUGUGAUAUGAGUCUUUCUCCUGAGGAGGCAGGUAAAACCGAAGCAAUCAACAUCUGUACCCCCAGACGUGGCUUCCUUUUCUAUCAAUACUUGCCUUGUCAACAGUAAUAAAGAGAAAAAUUAAUACGUUUUACCCACAGUUCGGCUUGUUACGGUUUCGAACUCUCUUUACACAGUGUAUAUUGCCACGCCCAUCUAUUUUACCUGAUGGAGAUCAGUUAAAAAUUUUAUUUUGUUAUGAAGGUAUUGGUGUAGACUUCAAGCCUUGUUCCAGGUUGCAACCUUCUUAAGAGAAAGUCGCAUUUUCCUAUUUCAGCAUGCAAAAAAGCAGAAAAUUGCCAUUCUUAAUUCUUCUUAAAGUUCAAACGAAACUUGAGUUUAGCCCUAUGAGUAAACAAAUAUAUCUGAAUAAAUACAUGGGUUGAGGUGUGUUUGUAUCAUAUCACGUGUAUGUACAUUUCAUCUUCAUUAUCCUGAUCUUUCCAUAUUCUUAUUGUUUUUGUUAUGAUUGUGUUUUAUUUUGCUGUCCAUGGCUGGUGUGAUCACCUAGUCAUGCUGAUGAAGCCUGAUAUUGGCAGAAACAGCAAGAGUUUAUAAAUAUUGAAAUAUAUUCACAAUUGUCUCACUUUAUUGUAGUUAAUCCCUGUUAAUUUUAGUGCCUUUAUCUAUCUUAAAUAAGACGUGUAGGACGGAGAGUUGAUUGUUACAAAAAAUGUUCUUGGAGAUUUUCUUAUAGCUUACCGUUUCUUUUCGUCAAUUUUAUUAAUAACUAGAUAAAUCGGUAGACAAUUUUCGGCGAUUUUUGUACCCGCAAAGCUUAAAUUAGUGAAAGAUUCUGACCCCACCUGGGAGGGGGGGCUUACAGCGCCCCCAGGACCCCCAGCUGCUAAAUUCAAGACUUUGUCCAAAUAUUGCUGCGCAGCAGCAAUAUUUUGACUAAGUCUAAAAAAAAGGCUGGAUCCGCCCCUGGUCAUGACUAUUGAUUGAGCGUUGUUCAAGUCAGUUCAGCCAGUUUUAAUAUCAAUUCUCUAGUUAACUGACGUCAAAGAUUAAAUCUUUUUAAAACAAAAUUAAGCCUGCAAAGGAAUAGCGGCGAAGUGGCUUAUUUCAAUGCUAAGAAAGCAGAAGGGUUUAAAGCCAGUCAACUUUCAGGAACAAAAAAUUUUAAAAACAAAAUAAUUAGCAGAUAUUUAAUCAAAUUUCAGUAUUUUUAUUGCUUUUUUCCGAUUUGUUUGAUUUUUAGUGGAAAUCCACCUUAACGGAAAUGGUUUUUAUAUUCUUAUGUGGUUAAGUUUUUCUGUGAUUGGUUAAUGUGCACGAAAUAUACUACGGAAAAACGAGUGUAAGUUGCACCUAUUUUUCAAUGCCAUACUCUAGAAAGGUUACACUUCAUAAUUUGCUGAAUAUCGAGCAAAAUGACAAUUUGUAGAGAAAUUCAUUCCAAAAUUUUUUACUCAAAACAUUAUUAUUAUAAAUAACAAACGUUCGCGGUAAUGGGAAACAAAGGUCAAUUUUUUUAUUUUUUUUACCUUUUUCACUUAAAAUGAGGUAUGAUGUGACAUGACAGACAUGUUUUUAUUAUUUAUUUUUACUCUAAUGUUGACUAGAAGCAAUUUAAAGUUUCAAUGGUUAUGAUGUCAUAGUUGAUUUAGGCUAUACUCAUAGUUAGUAUGUAGGUCAGAUUAAACAAAAUUCAUUAAUUGCUAUGGUUCUGAAGCAACAACACGAAAGCAAACAACAACAAUGACAGAUAAUGUUAGAAGUAUAUUUCUCUUGUUUCAUGUCAUAACUACACUUGAGUUUGGGGAAAGGGGGGGAUGUCAGGUUUGGUAUCAGGGGGGCCCAAACCAGAUGCGUGUGUUUCCAUCCUUACCCUUAGUAAGACGUAUCUCGUGGAAACGUCUGCGUAUCUCGUGGAAACGCUAACUCAGCAACUCGCUUGGAAAUUGCCUACAUCUCCGCGACUCACUUGGAAAUCGCCUACACCUCAGCAACUCGCUUGGAAAUUGCCUCUACCUGCUAUGGCGUAUCUCGUGGAAACGCACCUCAUUUGUUAGGAAAACAAACGCAUCUUCAUCCCAUUUGGCUGACGAAGGAAGCCCGACAUCCCAAAUUUACCCCAAACUGGAUUUUUUAAAGGAGACUAUUUUGCGAUCCAUCAUGUUAUUAUCUAACUUUCAAAAUCUGAUAAUACACAACUUUAAAUUGACAAAUAAUAACUACAAUUGCUGUCAAUAAUACAAAAUCAAUGAAUAAGAAUUGUACUUUAAUUUAGAGUUAUAGCAGUAAUAGCACUAUCAAUUGUUUGUGGCAAGAAUAAACUGAGGAUAAUUUGGCGGAAUCGGGUGAGGAUGCUAGGCUGAAGAGAAGAUAUUGUCUCAAGCUCACGUGCGUGUUCCCAAUAAAUUCGCUCUUCUCCACUACAUCCGGAGCUCUUCUCCUAGUAGUGUUCGCUCUUCUCCACUACAUCCGGAGCUCUUCUCCUAGUAGUGUUUUCUAGCUUAACUAAUCUCUCAAUCACAUCCGGAGCUCCUCUCCUGUGAUUCCAUUUCCUCUAUCAUACCUCACAAGAACCUACUCUUUUAUUAACCUCUUGGUGCACCACCUCUGACUGUCAGCGCCGCAUCCCUCUGCUGUUAUUUCCCCAGUCAUCUGUCCUGCUCGCGUGGUGCACCGUCGUUCAUCUCCUCGCACCUGUACUUAAUUCACCAUACUCUUCCAGGGGUACACGCACAUCUCUACAGCCCAGCACCCCCAAUUCCCCAAAUGAAAAUUCAUUAUCUAUGAGGCAAUAUUUUUGACGAGAACUACGAAGAGAUAAUUCAACAUGCCAUAACAGGCUUAACAAAUAGACAAAAAGAAAUUAACAAAAAGAAACUACAUGCAAGUGCCUAUAAAUUAGCCUUUUACAAUUCGGGUAAUAAAAUCCCCAUUUGAUAAAACGAACAAUGGGCCAGCCUUAGCCCUUUCCUAAAUGGAGCUGUUUUGGAUGCCUUGAUGUUUAAUGUAAAUAGCAGUUCUGAAAAUAGAAGCCUGACCUUAUUUAUUAAUCACUCUAGGGCAAAUGUAUAAUGGCUAAUAUGGAAGAUUUCUUCAUAAAAAACAUCAGAAACUUUUUUCAUGUGGAUUACUUUUACAUUAACAAAAUUAAAAAUUUGAAGAUAAACUUUUGGGAUUUUGUCAUUCAUUAGUUUUCAAAUUUCUCCCUGGAAAUUUUUAAGGUUUAAAACCCAUGUCCCACAGUAACUUUUUCAUCCUUAUCCUAAUGUUAAUACAUAAUCUAUGCAACAGCUUUGCAGUAAAAUUAAAACACAAGUUUUAACGAAUAGCGGCGAUAGAAAUGCUUUUUUAGAUCGUAUUUUAAAGUUUAAAAUCGAAAAGAGGCAAGCGGCAUUUAAUAGUUGUGAACAAUGCUUCUCGAAUGUUUCUUAGAUUAAACGCGCUGGAAUUUUUUUAAGUAAUUAAAUUAACAAUACAUUCCCGCGCAAUGCAUUAUAAAACUUCGCGAAAGAUUUUUAUUAUUUGCUCCGAUAUUUCUUCACGAGCGCAUUGUUUUUUAACACGCAAAUAUAAACUCGCAAAACGCUCAAGGGAUUUAAUUAUAACAAAAGACAAACGACUGCCGUCCUCCACGCAAAGGUGUGAUAUUAGCGUGUACGCGGUAGAUUACAUUCAGACUGUACUGUACUUAAUCACUCUAUAAUGACACUUAUUUAAAUGCCUAAUAUAAAGGGAAUACAUAAAAUCGGAAGCAUAACCGUAUUUAUAUGCCCAACCAUUCUAAAUUAAGGGCACCGACAAUAAAAGCAAUUCCAGAUUUCCAAAUUGCACAAAAGAUAUAGCCUGAUCGAACAAUUUUGGGUAGCAUUCAAAAUACAGCUAUGUGAAAUGUUUAUAAAAUUGAUCCUAAAGACUGGAAACAUAUUGCAAAAAAAAAAAAUUAAAAAAAAUCCAACUUAGUGAGGUAGGAUCGCCUAAGUAGAAAUUGCCAAUGAGAAGAUCAUGUGGAUCUAAACUAGUAAUCGGUUGAAAGCAACGCAUAAUUUUUUUAUUGGCGUUUAAAAAGGUUCCUUGCGCCCAGGAGUCGAGUUAAAAUUCAUCUAAACUACUCAGGAGUGUUUCACGAGGCUCAACUCUCUGGUUUCACGGUAGUUUAACUACAUUUUGCCGCUUUUUGCCGAUUGUUGCGCGAUUCCUUGUUUUCUGCCGUAAAAUAGUCGACUUCGGCAGCAGCCGUAGUGUGGACUUUUGACCCUCUUGGAAACAAACAAAUAAUUUUACGCCAAGAAGAAUCGCGCCGAAGUGUGGACUUUUGGACUCUUGUAAAACAAAGAAUAUGUGACGUCAAGAAGAAUCCCGCCGAAGUUGUCGAAAUUUACAGUAAAGAAAGAUUGAAAUUAAUUUACUCUACCUAUUGUUAUUGCCUCCCGGUAGCCGGUCGGUUGGAUAGGGUAGGAUUCAACAUGUCUAAAGGCUAAGAAAGUUUUGUAUUGACUUGCAGCAAGUAAAUGGAAGGCUUGAAUAUAUGAUUGCGGAAUGAAAUUGAGCAAUGUUGCUAAAAAGAGGCAUGACUGGAAAACAUUUAUUCUCUGUGUUGCCUGGGAUUGCAGAAGAAAGCAGUUUGGCAAAAUAAACAGACUUUUUUGAGUUAACAAAAUUAUAGCAUUAACUUUAUAAUGACAACGUUUUCAGGUACAUCUGUUUACUUUUAAUUCCAUUGAUUCUUGAGCUUUCUAUUGCUGUGCUAGCAAGUUUGAGCAUGAAACCGUUUCUAGUUUCACUUUCAACAACUCUAAAAAGGCCUGUCUCAAACUCAAAGUUCUUGUGUUGUCUUGGGGUACCCACAAGACAUUUGAUAACAAUACAAUAAAUCGAAUAGCUGCAUAACAACUUGUAUGUUUGCUUUGUAGAUUCAAAGCUCCUGGCAAUAAACACUUUUUAAACGAUUUCUUAAAAUGCCACAAGGCCACAGACGAGAACACUAGUCGUGACUAGUUUUGGGAGAAUGACUUCGACAAGACUUGAUGAUGAUUGGUUUAAAAGCUCUAAUCUUAUAUCGAGAUAAUUCCUGGGAACGAUGUUAAUUAUAAAAAUUAGGAAAAAAGCAUGGUUUUAAUUAAUGGGUGAAAUGACGAAAGUUUUUCACAUUUCACUAAAGAAGUUAUGCUGACAGGCAUAGAAAAUGUUUGUGGUUCUACCAACAUAACGAAAUGACUUAGCAUACAUAUACAGCGCUAUCAUGAUGGACACAAAAUGUGUAAAUGUAGUUAACGAUAUCUGUUUUUAAAUGAUUUGUUUUGUUAAAAAUUUCAAGUAUAUAGUUAAUGUUUAUCGCAUAACAGCUAGGUAUUUCCAAGUUUGAUUCAACAUUUUAGAGUCUUAGCCAAUAAGGGCUACAUAUUUUUGACUGAAUGUUGUGCUAAAUCAGUGGUCAUUCACUUGUUGUGGUAGGUUGUGUUGUUUUUAAUUAGCUAUUGCUGCGUAAAAACCAAAUUUUAUAUAGCGGCCUCUACUUGUGCAAAACCAUGAUAUAAUUUUGCUAUUUUUAUUUUAUUUAUCUGUUGUUGUUUAUGGUGUACUAUGAUCUAAUAAUACAAAUAAAGCCUAUUUACAAUGCAGUUUGUGUUGUUGUUGUUGCUUAUUUCUCUAUCUUUCUCCUUUUCCAUGUGAUUAAAUGUUUCAAAUAGAUUAAAUAUCAAAAGUUUUAUUAGUAAUAGAUACCGUUUUGCUUGUCUUUUACAGAAUAUAGUUUCUCCAAAUUCAUAGCCUGAAUAUUGCCCCCAAAGCAAUUAUAUUCACCAAUAACUUACGAAAACAAGCCUGCAAAUAUUAUUCUGGAUGUGGAAAAAAGAAGUUUUUCUGGCUAGCUAAGUAUAGUCUAUUAUAAGAUUAAAAAGGGAAAACACGGGGCCAAAUUUUCACGCAGAUACAAUUUACUAUAUACAGGUUAGAGCAGGAUCGUAUCAUGAUCGUCUAUCGCGGUGAAUGAACAUAAACAACACUAUAAAUAACAUAACGAGUUAUCAUAAUGGCAACCUGGCUACAAGGUUGGCAUUACUUGUAUAAAAGCCAUAAUGGCUCUAGGGUGGUUAAAAAGUGACAGUUUCUGGGCUCCUAACAUAAUAUAAUAUAUAAAAUGAAACAAACCGACCUGGCUACAUGCAAUAUCUGUCCUGAAGAAAUAUCCGAAGGCCCCUCCUGAUACCAGAGGCACACGAUCCAAAAUCUGCUAGAGUCACCGGCCGUCAUUGGACGCGCUGCCAUUAUAGUAAUUGAAGCCAAAAGAUGGAGUUGACGAUAUUAGUAGGUUGCAGUGAUAGAUGAUGAUGAUGGAAAACCAAACUCCCCUAUGCAUUUCUAAAGCAUGCCGUGCACUCUUCUAUUUCUGUAUGUUUAUGCUAUUCCAAAGCUGUAUAUCUUCGCGCGGCUUGUAAAAUUUUAUGCAAGGAAAAGUGUUAUGUGACCAAACCAAACUAUUAGCAAAAUGUGAUGAUGGAAACUAGUUGACUUUAGCUGCUCCCAUUUUAUAGGUAGGCAAGGCAAUCUUAGGGGCCUGGAUCUACAACAGUAUUGGUUAGUUACCUUGAGGGCCCCUAGUGUUCAUGCCUUGUGACCACCCUUUUCACUAGUCUACCAUUCUAGAUUUGGAAUAACAUUGAGUUUCUAAAGUAUAUCCUUCAAUGAUGCUAGUAGCCAUCUUUGUUGACACUUGAAUACUGAAUGCAAUCAAAGCCAAGCCUCUCAACAAGGUAUAAGUACUUACUUCAGGAACCGCAAUUAACAUGUGGUGAACUGUUGGUCCACCACCAUGUAAACCUAACAGAUUAUUGGAAACUUUGAUAUCUUACCCUGAGGCAUAUUUAUACAUAAUAAAUUGCUAACAUACAUGUAACAGUAGAAACCUCUGUUCUCCUAUAAAGAGCUUUUGAGACUCCUAUAGUGAGAUUUUUUAGUUCACAAAGAAACACAUUAAAAGAGACCUACGUUUAUCAAGAUCUAUGUUUAGAUUCAGGAUCUUUUUCAGACCAUUCGCGUUUUUCUUCUCCCUUUUUAUUAACUUAUUUUUAGGGGAUUACCGUAACAUAGCCCAUCAUCAACCCCGCGCACACGAUCCCCGAAAUGUAAAGGAAUGUCAAGAACCGUAAUAAUUUAAUAUUUGGAUUGAAACAUUUAAUAACUUAUGAAAUAUUUAUAGCCAUUUUUUGCUAAGGUCCGGCUUUCUUUUAGGGCUCAUUUUGAGAGCGCGCUACAAUGAAAUUGAUUACCCUUAGUAAAUAAUUAACGUAUAGCGUCAGAAAAAUUUUACACAAACAAAAAUUUGUUAUUGUUAACCUGACAUAUCCAACUUCAAGAAAUAACCAGGAAGGAGAUCUGGAAAUAAAAAAGAAAAGUUGUUUUUUCUAAAAAUACUAAAUUAGAGUUUUUAACUCUAAAUUUAAGUUUUUAAUUUUAAUACCUUUUUUAAUUGCGAUAGCGCGAUGUUUUGGUUUCGGCUCAGCCCUACGGCAUUCAAAAGUCACAUUAAUAAAGUUAUUUUAAGAUAACAAGUGCUAUCUUAAGAUAACUCUAUUAAUGUGAUUUCGGAAUGCGUGUAUAUUCACAAAAAUGUCUUGAUUGUAAGAUAACUCGAGUUAUUUUAAGAUAACAUAAAUGUGAUAAUUCUAUCUUUUCUAAUGCGCAUAUGUGUAAAUGAACGUUGCUUAGGGUGCGGAUACGUAAAGUAGCUCACCAAAUAACAGCCUACAUGAAUUUCCGGCCGUAUUGACAUUUAUUUUGAUACGUCAUUUGUAUUGUCCUUGUGGUGUCGCGUAUGUGCUCUGCUGUAGAGUUCGCUCUGCGGUGGAGAACAAGAUGCAUUUUGUUAGUUUUGUGUUGUGAUGUAUUGUCCCGUGUUAAUUAUGUAAAGAGAAUAAUUGUAAUUUUGGUACUAUUUUUAGUUAAAUUUUCUGCACAUCUUGCACAUCUUUUUUUCUGCGCAUUCAGUCUUCACCAUGUCGAACAUACAUUUUUGUAAUAAAUUCGCUGUUGAGUGAAAUUUUUCUUUCAUACAUCACAGGAGUUGUCCUGUAUCUCAGCAUCUGUUUUAGUUGUUUUCUCUCACAUGUAGUUGGCUUGGCUUACGCCACUAUAUAUCUAGUUGAAUCUUGGCAUUCAUUUUUUUGCUUCGCUAAAUUGUAUUUUUGGUAAUAUAGAACAGACAGCCAAUUACUGAUAUGAAAAAUCGUAAGAAUAAUAUCAAACGAAGAUCCAUACAAUGUGAAUUGAAGAAACUGAUUACAUUACAACGAACGAGUGAAUGAUCAGUGAAAAACAAUCUAAGAAAUGUAUGGAUGCUGAGUCGUUUACAACACAUGUAAAAAAGUGAGCCAAAUAUAAUUUUUUUAAAAAAAUCUACCGAAUUUAUGGAUACUGUGUCGUUGAUAGCAAGCACAAACUGUGUAUUUGCUUUCCCCUCUUUCCCCUUUAGCGAAUGUGUGCAUGAGAGUUCUGUAACCAUGGAACCAAUAUACGUCUUAUGUGCCUUUAACAGAACACUGUGUGGUGAAAAUCAAUAUAAGAAUUGCGUCAAUGCUGUGGCGGUUUCACGCGCUGUUAGUAAAAGUAUGGAUGCUGUUUCUAACAAAACAUUAUAAUCAAUGCAAAAUGUUAUUUUUACAUUUGUUAAUGCUCGGGAACUGCAAUCUUUCUAAAAAGAGUAUGAAUGUCAUGUCAAGCAAAAAAGGUGUACUAAGCUAUGUUGUGGAAAUCAUUGCAGCAAAUAUAAGGUCGUGUUCCCAUAAGUUCUUAAAAAGAUGAUGGAUUUAGUGCAGCUCUGUCGGUAGAGCGUUUGAAUCAUCUCCUCUACUUGAGAUUAAAAGUUCAAUGUCCCCCCAUUGUCUAGUUAGUUUGUCAUUUCAUAAAGAUUUUUGUAGCAAUGGGAGCUAAACACUGGAAACCUGGUCCAUCCUGAAAUCCAUUGAGCACAGACCACAUUAAAUAUAAAUCACCAUCAGUGGUUUGAGGCAGAAUUGUAAGAGAAUUUACAUACUGGAUGGUUCUUUUGUUAUGAAAGUUUUUUUGCAGUAACUUUAAUGACUAGGGUGUCUUUUUAUGCCACUACCUGUACACAUGUCAGAGCUUAAAAGUACUGCCAAACUCUUUUUCCAUGUAUUGGAAUAAAAUGUAAGUGUUGACCAUGUUGUUGUUAUUUGUUUCUUUACAAUACAUAUUAUGACUGCUAUGUGACAUAUAUAUCUCUGUUUGUUUUUACUUUUCCUAAAAUUCAUAGUUUCCAAAUUAAUUGUAUUCAUUUCCAAAGUUUUUUCGUGUAACAUUUCUGUGAUCUAAUAGCAAGAUUCUUACAGAUUAAUUGUUUUUUAGUGAAGAAACUGAUUAUUGAAAUCCACUAGCUGUUACUGUUUUGCCAAUUUAUAUAA